GACAGAGGUUGCAAGCGUUGUUCGGAAUUACUGGGCAUAAAGCGCACGUAGGCGGUCCGCUAAGUCAUGUGUGAAAUCCCCCCGGCUCAACCGGGGAAUGGCGCCUGAUACUGGCGGACUCGAGAUCGGUAGGGGUGAGUGGAACUCCAGGUGGAGCGGUGAAAUGCGUAGAUAUCUGGAGGAACACCGGUGGCGAAAGCGACUCACUGGACCGACACUGACGCUGAGGUGCGAAAGCCAGGGGAGCAAACGGG
rnacentral:rRNA from 1 species